AAUUGUGUCGGGCGGCGGCGAGUCCCCGUGUUUUCGUAUCAGCGGAAACAUAGCGACCGCGGCUGUGCCAGCUGUGCUGCUGGUGCUGCUGCGCGCAGUGCUGGGACGACGCGAGUCCCGCAACCAUAGCAAACGCCUUACGAUGAAUCGGAUACUCGUGAAGAGACAGCAAGGGCUUCGCGAGACGCUGUGUGCACACUUCUCGCUGCCGAAAGCCGUCUCGUUCAGGACGCAUUGAAGCGGACACAGCCUGCAGCGAAGAACAACGCGACGGACAUUGCUCUACUCCACGGGGCGUCUGCGCAAGCAGGCGUUUGGUGAAUGGCGUCACUACGGACCCGAGCCAACAGGGGGGUUUCGACCCCCUCCCACGCCUCGCCAUGCUUGGCUUUGCUGUGUCCGAGGAAAAGGGGAUCCUGGGUGUUGAGCCGACGCCGGGUACUGCUCCGAUCAACCACAAGCAAACCAGUUUUCGAACUACAGCCUGAUGACUUAUCAGCUCAGUUUUUGCCGGACGGUGAACCUUUGUUCAACUGCUCAACAUGGGAAUCAAGCGACAUUCACCAAAACGACGGAAAUCAAUGAGUGUGCCUCGCAGCUGAAAUUGGCCGCUGCCGGUCAACCAACCGUGGACUGAUCGCACAGACGACUGCAGCCUACAAAUAGCACGGAUCUUCACUCGGCGCUUGGGGCAUGGAACCGGUGCAGAUAUGACUGCACCGCUUACGCUUACGCUGUUCUUUCUGCAGGCUGACCACCAAAACAGUGUGAAUCUGGGUCCUUAGGAGCUUGAAUGCCACCAGGUACCAAUGCUCUGCUCGUUGUGGACAAGUACUGCGACGAAGACAGCACCUGCCUUUGUGCAAUACUUCUGAAUGCUUCUUCAUUGUGACUAAUGCAAAACUGUUGUGCAAUUUAGCCUUUGUUUACUUCACUAAAAUAAAAAAUGGGCCCAACAAUUACAAGAGCAAGCCUGGAAGUGUUGAGACUUCAUAUUACUACUUUGACUAAAAAAUAAUAAAAAUAUAGUUUUUUAAUGCAGGAAGUUCUUGCUUUUGUUUAUUCCAAAACAAGCCAACUGCAUCUCUUAAAGG
rnacentral:lncRNA from 1 species